CCCUUAGAUGUCCUGGGCCGCACGCGCGCUACACUGACAUGUUCAACAAGCCUCCUAGUUCGACAGGAUUUGGGAAAUCUUUGAACGCAUGUCGUGAUAGGGAUAGAUCAUUGCAAUUAUUGAUCUUGAACGAGGAAUUCCUAGUAAACGCGAGUCAUCAGCUCGCAUUGAUUACGUCCCUGCCCUUUGUACACACCGCCCGUCGCUCCUACCGAUUGGAUGAUCCGGUGAGCUAUUCGGACUUUCGCAUUGUCGAUUUUCGGCUUUACGAGGGAAAGUCUCGCGAACCUUAUCAUCUAGAGGAAGGAGAAGUCGUAACA
rnacentral:rRNA from 1 species